AUUGAACGCUGGCGGCAGGCCUAACACAUGCAAGUCGAACGAGUGGCGGACGGGUGAGUAAUGUCUGGGAAACUGCCUGAUGGAGGGGGAUAACUACUGGAAACGGUAGCUAAUACCGCAUACCAUCGGAUGUGCCCAGAUGGGAUUAGCUCGUAGGUGGGGUAAAGGCGUACCGAGGCGACGAUCCCUAGCUGGUCUGAGAGGAUGACACGCCACCCGGGCACUGAGAGACGGUCCAGCCGCCCACGGUAGGCAGCAGUGGGGAAUAGUGCGCAAUGGGCGCAAGCCUGAUGCAGCCAUGCCGCGUGUAUGAAGGAGGCCUUCGGGUUGGAAAGUACUUUCAGCGGUGAGGCGUUACCCGCAGAAGAAGCACCGGCUAACUCCGUGCCAGCAGCCGCGGUAAUUC
rnacentral:rRNA from 1 species